UAGGGAAUCUUCGGCAAUGGGGGCGAACCCUGACCGAGCAACGCCGCGUGAGUGAAGAAGGUUUUCGGAUCGUAAAGCUCUGUUGUAAGAGAAGAACGUGUGUGAGAGUGGAAAGUUCACACAGUGACGGUAACUUACCAGAAAGGGACGGCUAACUACGUACCAG
rnacentral:rRNA from 1 species